rnacentral:rRNA from 1 species
UACGAAGGGGGCUAGCGUUGCUCGGAAUCACUGGGCGUAAAGCGCACGUAGGCGGCUUCUUAAGUCAGGGGUGAAAUCCUGGAGCUCAACUCCAGAACUGCCUUUGAUACUGGGAGUCUCGAGUCCGGGAGAGGUGAGUGGAACUGCGAGUGUAGAGGUGAAAUUCGUAGAUAUUCGCAAGAACACCAGUGGCGAAGGCGGCUCACUGGCCCGGUACUGACGCUGAGGUGCGAAAGCUAGGGGAGCAAACGGG